rnacentral:rRNA from 1 species
GAGUUUGAUCAUGGCUCAGAUUGAACGCUGGCGGCAUGCCUUACACAUGCAAGUCGAACGGCAGCAUGAUCUAGCUUGCUAGAUUGAUGGCGAGUGGCGAACGGGUGAGUAAUACAUCGGAACGUGCCCUGUAGUGGGGGAUAACUAGUCGAAAGAUUAGCUAAUACCGCAUACGACCUGAGGGUGAAAGUGGGGGACCGCAAGGCCUCAUGCUAUAGGAGCGGCCGAUGUCUGAUUAGCUAGUUGGUGGGGUAAAGGCCCACCAAGGCGACGAUCAGUAGCUGGUCUGAGAGGACGAUCAGCCACACUGGGACUGAGACACGGCCCAGACUCCUACGGGAGGCAGCAGUGGGGAAUUUUGGACAAUGGGGGCAACCCUGAUCCAGCAAUGCCGCGUGUGUGAAGAAGGCCUUCGGGUUGUAAAGCACUUUUGUCCGGAAAGAAAUCGCACUUACUAAUAUUAGGUGUGGAUGACGGUACCGGAAGAAUAAGGACCGGCUAACUACGUGCCAGCAGCCGCGGUAAUACGUAGGGUCCAAGCGUUAAUCGGAAUUACUGGGCGUAAAGCGUGCGCAGGCGGUUGUGCAAGACCGAUGUGAAAUCCCCGGGCUUAACCUGGGAAUUGCAUUGGUGACUGCACGGCUAGAGUGUGUCAGAGGGGGGUAGAAUUCCACGUGUAGCAGUGAAAUGCGUAGAGAUGUGGAGGAAUACCGAUGGCGAAGGCAGCCCCCUGGGAUAACACUGACGCUCAUGCACGAAAGCGUGGGGAGCAAACAGGAUUAGAUACCCUGGUAGUCCACGCCCUAAACGAUGUCAACUAGUUGUUGGGGAUUCAUUUCCUUAGUAACGUAGCUAACGCGUGAAGUUGACCGCCUGGGGAGUACGGUCGCAAGAUUAAAACUCAAAGGAAUUGACGGGGACCCGCACAAGCGGUGGAUGAUGUGGAUUAAUUCGAUGCAACGCGAAAAACCUUACCUACCCUUGACAUGCCACUAACGAAGCAGAGAUGCAUUAGGUGCUCGAAAGAGAAAGUGGACACAGGUGCUGCAUGGCUGUCGUCAGCUCGUGUCGUGAGAUGUUGGGUUAAGUCCCGCAACGAGCGCAACCCUUGUCUCUAGUUGCUACGAAAGGGCACUCUAGAGAGACUGCCGGUGACAAACCGGAGGAAGGUGGGGAUGACGUCAAGUCCUCAUGGCCCUUAUGGGUAGGGCUUCACACGUCAUACAAUGGUGCAUACAGGGGGUUGCCAAGCCGCGAGGUGGAGCUAAUCCCAGAAAAUGCAUCGUAGUCCGGAUCGUAGUCUGCAACUCGACUACGUGAAGCUGGAAUCGCUAGUAAUCGCGGAUCAGCAUGCCGCGGUGAAUACGU